rnacentral:misc_RNA from 1 species
GAUGAAGAACGUAGCGAAAUGCGAUAAGUAGUGUGAAUUGCAGAAUUCAGUGAAUCAUCGAAUCUUUGAACGCACAUUGCACCUCUCGGUAUUCCGGGAGGUAUGCCUGUUCGAGCGUCAUUUGUACCCUCAAGCUCUGCUUGGUGUUGGGUGUUUGUUCCGCCUCUGUGUGUGAACUCGCCUCAAAACAAUUGGCAGCCGGCGUACUUGUUUCGGAGCGCAGCACAUUUUGCGAUCCAGAUCAACGUACAGCGGCAUCCAAGAAGCCUUAUUUAACGCUCUUGACCUCGGAUCAGGUAGGGAUACCCGCUGAACUUAAGCAUAUCAAUAAGCGGAG